rnacentral:rRNA from 1 species
AUUGAACGCUGGCGGCAGGCCUAACACAUGCAAGUCGAACGAGUGGCGGACGGGUGAGUAAUGUCUGGGAAAAUGCCUGAUGGAGGGGGAUAACUACUGGAAACGGUAGCUAAUACCGCAUACCAUCAGAUGUGCCCAGCUGGGAUUAGCUUGUUGGUGGUGUAACGGAUCACAAGGGCGACGAUCCCUAGCUGGUCUGAGAGGAUGACCAGCCACACUGGAACGUCGACACGCUCCAGACUCCUACGGGAGGCAGCAGUGGGGAAUAGUGCACAAGGGGCGCAAGCCUGAUGCAGCCAGGCCGCGUGUAUGAAUAAGGCCUUCGGGUUGUAAAGUACUUUCAGCGGGGAGGCGUUACCCGCAGAAGAAGCACCGGCUAACUCCGUGCCAGCAGCCGCGGUAAUAC